rnacentral:misc_RNA from 1 species
GAUGAAGAACGCAGCGAAAUGCGAUAAGUAGUGUGAAUUGCAGAAUUCAGUGAAUCAUCGAAUCUUUGAACGCACAUUGCGCCCUUUGGUACUCCAAAGGGCAUGCCUGUUCGAGCGUCAUUUGUACCCUCAAGCUUUGCUUGGUGUUGGCGUCUUGUCUCUAGCUUUGCUGGAGACUCGCCUUAAAGUAAUUGGCAGCCGGCCUACUGGUUUCGGAGCGCAGCACAAGUCGCACUCUCUAUCAGCAAGGUCUAGCAUCCAUUAAGCCUUUUUUUCAACUUUUGACCUCGGAUCAGGUAGGGAUACCCGCUGAACUUAAGCAUAUCAAUAAGCGGAGGA